UCCUGUGAACUUCACUGACAGCUGGAAGGACUUAACAGUGAGAAUCUACCUUAUGGGUUUUAAAGAGGAGCAGCGGCACUUUCCAAACGGCAGUUCCUUGCCUGGACAGCACCUGCCGUUCCUCGGGAGCCAGGAUCACUCAUCUGAAUUCAUGCCAGACUCUACAGGAACACUGAUGCCAGUGAUUUAAGGAUCUUCACAUUCGGUCUCAGUGUUUCCUUGAAGAUGUUGUCCACUUGGUAAGCAUUGAAAUGCAGGAGCGUGCCAGCUCAGCUAAGCAGCAGACCCAGGAUCUAUGUGUCCUGCUGCAGCCCUCAGAGAAGAUGUACCUGCCUGUCUGAUGCUACACCAACAUGGAAGCCUUCCAGCCUUGCUGUGCUGUCACUGAGAGCAGAGUCUGGUCUAAUUCAUGGACAGAUAUUACUUCUCUCUUCUCUCUCUACGCACACUGAUUUCUUAGAGAUGCUUUUAGGUACUCAUCAGAAAUAGGCCACAGUCUAAAUUGUUUAAAGAGAAAGACAGACCUGAAUGUGUAGGUCAGAGUCCUAAAGUGUAGGUCUUAAGCUUGGAUGGAAAAUAAAACCCAGAAGGCUUCUCAGUUCUGACCAGAAGAGGAAAUAUUCAGAUGCCCCUUCAAAAGCAAAGGAGUAUUUUACAGAAGUUUAGUAACAAGAGUACAACUUCCUCCACUAUACUGCAGUAGAAUUGUUUCCUUUUUGUGCUAUAACCCAAAGGCAGCUGAAAACUUCCAUAUAUGCAGCUUGACUAAGCCACUGCUAUAGAUUCUGCUGUAUUACAAACUGUUGCCUUGCCACCUUCUUGGUUGUUAGCACUCCAGAUUUAGGACAAGAUUGUGAAAUUUUGUGUAACUAGGUAACG